AGAGUUUGAUCCUGGCUCAGAUUGAACGCUGGCGGAAUGCUUUACACAUGCAAGUCGAACGGCAGCACGGGUGCUUGCACCUGGUGGCGAGUGGCGAACGGGUGAGUAAUGCGUCGGAACGUACCGAGUAAUGGGGGAUAACGCAGCGAAAGUUGUGCUAAUACCGCAUACGCCCUGAGGGGGAAAGUGGGGGACCGCAAGGCCUCACGUUAUUCGAGCGGCCGACGUCUGAUUAGCUAGUUGGUGGGGUAAAGGCCCACCAAGGCGACGAUCAGUAGCGGGUCUGAGAGGAUGAUCCGCCACACUGGGACUGAGACACGGCCCAGACUCCUACGGGAGGCAGCAGUGGGGAAUUUUGGACAAUGGGGGCAACCCUGAUCCAGCCAUUCCGCGUGAGUGAAGAAGGCCUUCGGGUUGUAAAGCUCUUUCGGCAGGAACGAAACGGUCCGCUCUAACAUAGCGGGCUACUGACGGUACCUGCAGAAGAAGCACCGGCUAACUACGUGCCAGCAGCCGCGGUAAUACGUAGGGUGCGAGCGUUAAUCGGAAUUACUGGGCGUAAAGCGUGCGCAGGCGGAUUGUUAAGCAAGACGUGAAAUCCCCGGGCUUAACCUGGGAAUGGCGUUUUGAACAGGCAGUCUAGAGUGCGUCAGAGGGGGGUGGAAUUCCACGUGUAGCAGUGAAAUGCGUAGAGAUGUGGAGGAAUACCAAUGGCGAAGGCAGCCCCCCUGGGAUAACACUGACGCUCAUGUACGAAAGCGUGGGUAGCAAACAGGAUUAGAUACCCUGGUAGUCCACGC
rnacentral:rRNA from 1 species